GAGAUGCGAGUUGAACGGCAGCACGGUCUAGCUUGAAAGACUGGUGGCGAGUGGCGAACGGGUGAGUAACGCGUAGGAAUAUACCUUGAAGAGGGGGAUAACUUGGGGAAACUCAAGCUAAUACCGCAUAAGCUCUAAGGAGGAAAGCUGGGGACCGCAAGGCCUGGCGCUUCAAGAUUAGCCUGCGUCCGAUUAGCUAGUUGGUGGGGUAAGGGCCUACCAAGGCGACGAUCGGUAGCUGGUCUGAGAGGAUGGCCAGCCACACUGGGACUGAGACACGGCCCAGACUCCUACGGGAGGCAGCAGUGGGGAAUAUUGGACAAUGGGGGGAACCCUGAUCCAGCAAUGCCGCGUGUGUGAAGAAGGCCUGAGGGUUGUAAAGCACUUUCAGUGGGGAGGAGGACUGACGGGUUAAGAGCUGGUUAGUUGGACGUUACCCACAGAAGAAGCACCGGCUAACUCCGUGCCAGCAGCCGCGGUAAUACGGAGGGUGCAAGCGUUAAUCGGAAUUACUGGGCGUAAAGGGUGCGUAGGCGGUUGUAUAAGUUAACUGUGAAAUCCCCGGGCUCAACCUGGGCAGGUCAGUUAAGACUGUAUAACUCGAGUAUGGGAGAGGGUAGUGGAAUUUCCGGUGUAGCGGUGAAAUGCGUAGAGAUCGGAAGGAACACCAGUGGCGAAGGCGGCUACCUGGGCCCUAAUACUGACACUGAGGGCACCGAAAGCGUGCGGAGCAAACAGGGAUUAGAAUACCCUUGGUAGUCCACGCUGUAAACGAUGUCAACUAGUCUGAAGGCCUUAUGCAAUAAGGUU
rnacentral:rRNA from 1 species